UUCCCCUUAAUUCACUUUUCCCAUGACAAGUGAAAUUUUUAAAAUUUUUAUAUUGGAUAUAUACCUCAUAUGGAUUUUAUUUUGAACUAUUUGCUCCCCAAAACAUGACCUACUAAUAAUAGAUACAAAUUUUUGACAUUGUUUGGCUUUUAGAAAUAGGCCUACUUAUUGUUUUUUUUUUAAAGGAUGAAAUCGAUUUAUCAGACAAUUCUUCUCUGUUUUUUUUCAUGAGGUAUUGUAGUUUUUUUCGUUUUAUUCGUUCGAUCAUUCUUUAAAAUCCCAAAUAUUUGUAUACUCAAUAUACAGUCGAUAGAGUUUUAAUAAUUAGGUAUGCAUGAAGUGAUGGAAGAAUCUCAAGUCUCAAAAUGGUCGUUAAUGGAUUGAUUUAUAAGUUUAGCGGAAUUGAUCUAGUAUCUUUCUCUGUUUUGUUGUCCAUUUCUAUUAUCUUCUCUUCCAAGUAAAAUUGCAUUAAUUAUAACUUUAGAAUUGUUUUUACUAUUGUAUAUCGGACUGUUUCAGUAUAGGAAAUUAACUAAUUCUUAUUUGUUUUACUAUUUCAAGAAUCUUUAAUGAUUUUAAGUUAAACAACUGAAAAACUAAGUAGAGGAAGUUGAGUUUAUUAAUUGCACAUUUCAGCCAAUUAUUGCAAAGUAGAGAGUGACGUCAAAAAAAAUCGCUCUCUAAACGGAGAGAGAGACAGAGAGUGAGGAACGCAGAGACACAGUGCCAUAGUUAACUCGAAUACUUCAUUCUGCGUUGCACCAUGGAAAAGGAGGAUGCAAAUAAAACCGUUAUGAACAAUUUUACUUUCAACAGAUUUAUUUCAACGUUGCCGCCAUCAUUCGACUAUUUUAUAGCUUUUUACAUGAUCAUUCUAAUAUUGCUUACAGUACUCUUAAAUGGAUUGCUAUUAAUUGCCAAUUGGAGAAAACGUAAAAACCUCUCUACAUUCGAUAUUUGUCUAAUUAAUAUGAGCAUCUCUGGAAUAAUUCCAGCAAUAUUCAGUUAUCCUUUGCUCGUUUAUUCGUCAAUAAAUCACGGUUGGGCAUUUGGCGUUUCGGGUAAAUAGAAAUAUAUCUAUUAUAUUGUAUAAUACUUUUUCCUUAUAUCAAUAUAAUAACAACGAAAAUCCAUCUCUUAUAUUUUCUUUCUAAGCCUGUAAGAGGGACGGUUUCGUUGUGUUUUUCUUUGCCGUGGUGCAAAUAGCAACUUUGAUGCUUAUGAGUAUUCUUAGAUAUCUUAAAGUUUGUCAUCCGAUUAAGGGUAUUUUUUAUCAAUUAAUUGGUCUGUUUAAUUAUUAAACACUUUUUUUUAAUUACCAUCCUUACACAGAUAAUAUUUUAAACCAAAAUCAUGUAAUAGGAUUUGUUUUUUUAACGUACGUGUAUUCCGCCAUCUGGACUCUGGGUCCUUUGAUAGGUUGGGCUUCCUACGGAAUUGAGCCUUGGAAGUUAACGUGUUCAAUUGAUUGGACAAAUAUAACAACAUCCUAUUUAAUUUGUUGUUUUGUUGCUUGUUACCUAUUGCCUUUACUAUGCAUUAUUGGAUUUUAUUCAAGAAUUACUAUAGUCGUCGGAAACUUUUAUAGAAGCAGGCGAGUUUUAUCACACAGAGACAGAAAUCGCUAUGAUCAGCAUAUGUUAAAAUUAACUGUUGGAAUGAGUUCCGCCUUCUUCCUUGCAUGGACUCCUUACGCAAUCGUGUCUUUUAUGUCAUCUCUAAACAUGCAAACUAUUAGCAUAGCGGCCACACCAAUUCCGGCUAUUUUUGCCAAGUCUUCAACCGUUUAUAAUCCUAUUGUUUAUUAUUUGAUGAUUCAACGUUUUCGAGACGAAAUUUGGCAAUUACUGUGCAGCUUUCGACUAUCAAAAAAGAAGGUUGGUGGUAAAUCAGUAGAAGAAAUGAGGCAAGAACAAGACGAAAUGAAGGGAAUUAUGUUAGAACUGCUCAAGGAUGUUAAAGAAAUGAAACGGGGUAUGGCAAUUUCGUCUACUGAUUCUGAUGUAAAGAAAUCAUCAUCAAGUCAUAUUGCUUACAAGAACUUGGCGACUGAAGAUGAUCCUACAAUAUGUACCCAAGUCUGUAGUACACUAUGAUUGACUUUUGUAUUUAUUUCCAUAAAAAGUCUUUUAAAGAACGCGGUAUAAGAAUGUCUUUAAUUUUUAAGUAAAUACAUUUCUUUGCACCGAUCUUCUUUCUUAAACCGGCAACAAGCCUACUAUUCACUUUUGCGGCUACAUUUUCUUUAUUACCAUCGAGUGAGUUGUAGAAUUUAUAUUCAGUAUUCGCGACUGCCCCAAUAAUACCGUCAGUAUAUUUGUCCAUUUCGUACGAAUUGUCUACAGCGUCCACAUAGAAAGAUAAAUAACCUCUUCUUUUCACUAUUCGAAAAUCGACUGAUCUGAGUUCUUUCUGAUAUCUUCCUAAUAUUGUAUUAUCUCUGAGUUCUAAUGUUAAACCAUUUUUUUGGCCAUUAGUAAACCACCAGCUUUCGUCGCCUAGCCAUUGUUUAAGUCCGUCUCCUCCUGCAGUUUCCACAGAAUCCUUUCUAACGUACAAUAGUCUUCCAUCUUUUGAAUAAAUUUCAAUCUCUUCAACAAGAAAGCUAUCGGCAGUUGUUAACCAAACGGUUAAUGCGGAAAUUGAAUCGUGGAAUAUUUUUAACUUUCCACCAAGAGGCAUGCUUAUAUCAUAGCAGAGUUUUUGAAUUUUAUUAUUAAUGUCGAUUACACUUUGAAUUAAAUGGGUUUCACUCUCAUCACGUCCAACGAUACUUAAAACAUGCUCUCUCUUAGGCAUAAUUAAAAGACGUCCGUUUUCAGUGCAUGAGAGGAUUAACAUUAUACGAUUCGUCAGGGCUCGCUUUAAAUCGUAUUCGUAGGUUAUCUCGCUACGACUUAAAGUAAGAAGAAAUCGUUGAGGUUUUUCCCCAAGUUUAAAUUGGGGGCUUGUAACAUAACAGACUAAUUUAGUCCUUUCAGUAAGAUGACCUCGAAGAAUUCCAAAUUUCACUCUCGCUUCGUCCGUAUCUUCGUUCCAAUUGCUCUUCGAAUUAAGCCAACCUAUGUCAUCUGGGGAAAAAAAAAAGAUUUUUCUCUUUCAAUAAAAACCCGUCUUUAGUACUAAUCAAAUGAAUUCUCUUCUUCAAUGCCUUAUAGUAAAUUUAUUGGACGGUAAUAAAUACUGCCAACUGAAUAACUUACAAUUAGCUAAUGCUCCUAUGAUAAGAAGGGAAAAGACAAUUUCAACGACAAACGUUCGCGUCAUUGUUUAUAUUUCAACUGAGCUAUUAUCUCACCUUUAACCAGUUUAAAUAAUAGAAAAGAAAAAAACACGUAUAUAUUAAGA
rnacentral:misc_RNA from 1 species